AGAGCGAACGCUGGCGGCAGGCUUAACACAUGCAAGUCGAGCGGGCGUAGCAAUACGUCAGCGGCAGACGGGUGAGUAACGCGUGGGAACGUACCUUUUGGUUCGGAACAACCCAGGGAAACUUGGGCUAAUACCGGAUAAGCCCUUACGGGGAAAGAUUUAUCGCCGAAAGAUCGGCCCGCGUCUGAUUAGCUAGUUGGUGAGGUAAUGGCUCACCAAGGCGACGAUCAGUAGCUGGUCUGAGAGGAUGAUCAGCCACAUUGGGACUGAGACACGGCCCAAACUCCUACGGGAGGCAGCAGUGGGGAAUAUUGGACAAUGGGCGCAAGCCUGAUCCAGCCAUGCCGCGUGAGUGAUGAAGGCCCUAGGGUUGUAAAGCUCUUUUGUGGCGGGAAGAUAAUGACGGUACCGCAAGAAUAAGCCCCGGCUAACUUCGUGCCAGCAGCCGC
rnacentral:rRNA from 1 species